rnacentral:rRNA from 1 species
GACGAACGCUGGCGGCGUGCUUAACACAUGCAAGUCGAACGGUAAGGCCCUUCGGGGUACACGAGUGGCGAACGGGUGAGUAACACGUGGGUGAUCUGCCCUGCACUCCGGGAUAAGCCUGGGAAACUGGGUCUAAUACCGGAUAGGACCACUGCCUGCAUGGGCGGUGGUGGAAAGCUUUUGCGGUGUGGGAGGGGCCCGCGGCCUAUCAGCUUGUUGGUGGGGUGAUGGCCUACCAAGGCGACGACGGGUAGCCGGCCUGAGAGGGUGACCGGCCACACUGGGACUGAGAUACGGCCCAGACUCCUACGGGAGGCAGCAGUGGGGAAUAUUGCACAAUGGGCGCAAGCCUGAUGCAGCGACGCCGCGUGAGGGAUGACGGCCUUCGGGUUGUAAACCUCUUUCAGCACCGACGAAGCGCAAGUGACGGUAGGUGCAGAAGAAGGACCGGCCAACUACGUGCCAGCCGCCGCAGUAA